rnacentral:rRNA from 1 species
GACGUAGGGCGCGAGCGUUGUCCGGAUUUAUUGGGCGUAAAGAGCUCGUAGGCGGCUUGUCGCGUCGACUGUGAAAACCCGGGGCUCAACCCCGGGCCUGCAUUCGAUACGGGCAGACUAGAGUUCGGUAGGGGAGUCUGGAAUUCCUGGUGUAGCGGUGAAAUGCGCAGAUAUCAGGAGGAACACCGGUGGCGAAGGCGGGACUCUGGGCAGUAACUGACGCUGAGGAGCGAAAGCGUGGGGAGCGAACAGG